GCGACCAUACCACGUUGGAAAUACGGGUUCUCGUCUGAUCACCGGAAGUAAGCAACGUCGGACCCAGUUAGUACCUGCAUGUGUGACCGACUGGGAAUACUAGGUGUUGCGCCC
rnacentral:rRNA from 1 species